CCUCGUGGAUCUGCGACGGGGAGAGCAGGUGCACGUGCGAGUCGAAGCCGCCGGCGGUGAGGAUCUUGCCCUCGCCGGAGAUGACGUCGGUCGAUGGCCCGAUGUGCAGAUCCGGGUGCACUCCGUCGGCCACAUCCGGGUUGCCGGAACGGCCGAGGGCCACGAUGCGGCCGUCGCGGACCCCGACAUCGGCCCGGACGACGCCCCAGUGGUCGAGCACGAUGGCGUUGGUGAUGACGGUGUCGACGGCGCCCUGGGCCCGGGUCGUGCUGCCCUGGGCCAUCGACUCCCGGAUG
rnacentral:sRNA from 1 species